AUAUAAUUUCACUGGUGUUAAUUUGUCCAAUUUAUCAGGAAUGUGUGAAGCCUGUAAAGUUGGAAAAGAAGCAGGGCAGAUCCGUGGCUAAAAUCCAGAUAGAAGAUGAUGGCAGUUAUUUUCAGGUCUAUCAGGAUGGUCAGAGGGAAAAGUUGGAGAAAGCGAAGAUUACUCUAAACGACUGUCUGGCUUGCAGUGGCUGCAUCACGUCUGCGGAGAGUGUCCUGAUCACCCAACAGAGUCACGAGGAACUGUAUCGUGUGCUACGUCAAAAUAAGCAGGUCAGCAGUAGCGAGCAGAAGGUGGUGGUGGUGUCUGUGUCUCCUCAGUCGAGAGCCUCUCUAGC